rnacentral:lncRNA from 1 species
UGCAGCGGUCUGAGGAGGAAAGAGGUGCGACAUGGCUUUAUUCCACGCCAAUUUGAGGCAAAAGGAAAUGGGCGUCGCAGGGCAUUUGUCUUGGAUUGUAGAAAUUGACCAUAGGAGGAGUGAUUGCAGACUAAGUAAAGUUGGUUAUUUUGGUGAUUGCAAGCAAUAGAGAAUCGAGGUAAAUACAACAAUAAGGAGUCGGGGAAGGACACCAUAGUAUUAAAGGAGAA